rnacentral:lncRNA from 1 species
GCCCCACCCCCCAAGGCUAUAGCCCACCCGUUUUUGUGGCCUUUUUCCACUGGACGAACUUGGCGCCCCGUCCUUCGGGCGGUUAUUUUUGGAUGCGGCUUUGCCCACGGCCUAUUUUUGGUACACGGAGGCCCCUCGCAAAGUCUCGCGGCAUUCCGAGUCCGGCGGACGAAUUUGGCCAGCCCCACCCCCCAAGGCUAUAGCCCACCCGUUUUUGUGGCCUUUUUCCACUGGAUGAACUUGGCGCCCCGGCCUUGGGGCAGUUAUUUUUGGGCCCGGCUUUGCCCGCGGCCUAUUUUUUGCACACGGAGGCGCCUCGCAAAGUCUCGGAGCAUUCCGAGUCCGGCGGAUGAAGUGGGCCGGUUCCACCCCCCAAGGCUAUAGCCCACCCGUUUUUGUGGCCUUUUUCCGCUGGACGAACUUGGCGCCCCGGCCUUCGGGUGGUUAUUUUUAUAUUUGGCUUUCCCCGCGGCCUAUUUUUGGCACAUGGAGGCCCCUCGCAAAGGCUCGCGGCAUUCCGAGUCCGGCGGACGAAGUUGGCCAGCCCCACCCCCCAAGGCUAUAGCCCACCCGUUUUUGUGGCCUUUUUCCGCUGGACGUACUUGGCGCCCCGACCUUCAGGCGGUUAUUUUUGGCCACGGCUUUGCCCGCGGCCUAUUUUUGGCACACGGAGGCCCCUCGCAAAGUCUCGCGGCAUUCCGAGUCCAGCGGACGAAGUGGGCCAGCCCCACCCCCCAAGGCUAUAGCCCACGCGUUUUUGUGGCCUUUUUCCGCUGGAUGAACUUGGCGCCCCGGCCUUGGGGCAGUUAUUUUUGGG